GACGAACGCUGGCGGCGUGCCUAAUACAUGCAGGUUGAGCGAGGAAGAUGGGGUGUUGCCCCAAUUGGAAGGUCAGGGAACGGGUGAGUAACGUGUGUGGAAACUGCCUUUGAGCGAGGGACAACAUUUGGAAACGAAUGCUAAGACCGCAUAACAACUUUAAAAAGAAGUGUUAAGUUUGAAAGAUGCAAUUGCAUCACUCAAAGAUGAUCCCGCGUUGUAUUAGCUAGUUGGUGUGGUACAGGCUCACCAAGGCGAUGAUACAUAGCCGACCUGAGAGGGUGAUCGGCAACACUGGUACUGAGACACGGCCCACACUCCUACGAGAGGCAGCAGUCGGGAAUCUUCGGCAAUGGACGAAAGUCUGACCGUGCAACGCUGCGUGAGUGACGAAGGUUGUCGGAUCGUAAGACUCUGUUGGUAGUGAAGAUCGUUGGUGAGAGUCAACAGCUCAUAAAGUGACGGUAACAACAGAGAAAGGCACGGCUAACUCCGUG
rnacentral:rRNA from 1 species